rnacentral:lncRNA from 1 species
CUGAUUUGAUUUAUUAGUCAGGAUAUUAUAGGAAAUUAGGUGUAUUAGCUGUAGAGAUACCUUAGUCCUCAUAGUCUAGCUGGUAGUCUCAAUUUCCCUUUUUUAUUCUUAACAAUACUGUGUAUAUAUUCAGCCCUUAUAUAAAAAUUUGGAUUUCUUUUCCUAAGAAAACCACAUGGUAUCAGAGCCGAAUAUUUGGCCAGAGAGUGAGUGAUAUCGUCACCUUCCUGAAAGAGAGAUGGCAGAGAAAGGAUCUGAGGUAGGAGAGAAGCUGGCGGCCAUUUCAAAUCCCUCUUCGACUGAAAACCCAGCGAUUUAGAUAACAGCCCUUAAACUGAACUGAGAAAAUUUUCUCCGAUGGGCACCAUCAGUAAGAUUCUUCAUAAGUGGUAGAGGCAAGAUGGGGUAUUUGGAUGACACACACAAGCCUGUUUUGCCCAAAGAAGCUGGGUAUCAAACCUGGUUUGUUGAAAACUCAAUAGUGAUGACUUGGUUGAUCAAUUCUAUGGAGCCAGAAAUCAGCCAAGGGUAUAUACUUUACAACACAGCAAAGGAGAUUUGGGAUGCAGCUAAUCUAAUGUACUCAAAUCUGGGAAACGACUCUAAACUCUGAGUUGAGUGAGAAGGCAAGGGCAAUUCAGCAAGGAGACUUGCUGGUAAUGACCUAUUUCACUUCUUUAAAUAUUCUGUAUCAAGAAAUUGAUUUGUACCAGGAUAUUGUGUGGAAAAACCCGGAGGAUCAUGCCACAUAUCGAAAGUUGAUUGAAAAGGAAAGAGUCUUUAAAUUUCUUUCUGGUUUGCGAUAUGAAUUUGAUCAAGAAAGGGGCAGGAUUUUGAGUAACUCGCCCAUUCCAUCUCUUCGGGAGGUCUUCAACUCGAUAAAGAGAGAAGAGAGUCGCAUAGGCUUUAUGAUGAGUGGACUGAAAUCAACAACAACUGAAACAUCUGCAUUAUCAACAGCAAAUCAGCCAACUGCAGGAAACAAAAAUAUUGGAGCAAAUUCGGUCUAUGUUGCAGGGAAAAAUGAAGGGAAGAAGGAUGACAAGGAUAGUAUAUGGUGCGACCAUUGCCAAAAACCACGACACACAAGAGAUAGCUGCUGGAAAAUUCAUGGGAGACCAGUGAAUUUACCCCAGAACUUUGGCAAAGGUCAUGGCUAGAAUAAUGGUGGUGGAGGACGAGGCUGGAACCCAGCAUUAGGUGGGGGCCGAGGCUUUCAAGCAGUAGCAGAUUUUUCAAAACAGACCAAGCACAAGGAGAUACUGGAGUUCCAAACCCUACCAAAGAGCAACUUGAGCAAUUCUAUAAGUUUAUAUUCUAAAAUUCCCAAAAUGCUACUUCUGCAAAUUUGGCCCAAGUAAUUUUAGUACAACCCUUUCUACUAAGUACUUGAAAUCUGACUCCUGGAUCUUAUAGAUUCAGGAGCAACCGAUCAUAUGACUGGGAAUUCAAGUAUGUUUUGUUCUUAUACUCCUUGUAAUGGGACUCAAAUGGUAAAAAUUGUCGAUGGUUCCUUAACUAAAGUAAAAGGAAUAGGCAUUGUUCAAAUUUCUGAGAGCCUGAGUCUCAAAUCUGUAUUACAUAUGCCUAACUUGUCUUGCAAUCUUGUUUCCAUUAGCAAACUUACCAAAGACUUGAACUACAUUGCUAAUUUUCACCCAAACCAUUGUGUUUUUCAGGAUCUGUGUAAGGGGAAGAAGAUUGACAAUGCUAGGGAGGUUGAUGGACUAUGGAUGUAUCUUUCUUUGAAAAUCAGCCUUACAACACCCAAAAUUCUCUUCAGGGGGAGAUUAGAGGAGAAGAGAAUUUUUGGGAAGUAUCCCAAGGAAAGGAGAUGGGGGAAGAGAUAGGAGAAAUUGGAGGAGUUCUUGAGAUAGGAGAAAUUAGAGGAAUUCUUGAAAAUAUUUCAGUUGGAGAAGAAAAAAAGGGAAAGAGCCAGAAGAAAAAAUUGAGAAAGAGAAGGAGUGCAUUACAUAUUCUAGGAGAAGAGGAAGAAAUCCAUAUCCUCCUAUAGAGGGUCAAUCUUCAACUCUGGCAACAGAGCCGAACACUCGGGUAAAUCCAACUCCUCAACCCUUAUUUGAUGAUCUAGAUUUACCUAUUGCUCUCAAAAAAUCUAGUCGAUCCUGCACACAACAUCCUAUUGCUCAAUUUGUUUCGUAUGGUGCUUAAGGGGCUCAUUUAGAGCAUUUACCACUAAUUUGUCUCGUGUUAGUAUUCCUCGUGAUAUUCAUGAAGCACUGCAGGUUCCAGAAUGGCAGGAAGUAGUUAAUGAAGAGAUGAAAGCUCUCUUUAAAAAUCAUACUUGGGUAGUUACUAAUCUUCCAAUAAGAAAGAAACCAGUGGGGUGCAAGUGGGCGUUCAUAGUCAAGUUCAAAGCAGAUGGAAGCAUAGAAAGACAUAAAGCAAGACUGGUGGCUAAAGGUUACACCCAAAACAUUUGGUAUUGACUACCGGGAGACCUUUGCCCCAGUAGCAAAGAUAAAUACAGUGAGAGUUCUACUGUCUAUUGCAGAAAAGAUGGAUUGGGCUCUACAACAACUUGAUGUAAAAAAUGCCUUCUUACAUGGUGACUUGGAAGAAGAGGUGUUCAUGGAGUUGCCACCAGGUUUUGAAAAUCGAUUGGGCAAAGGAAAAGUGUGUAGGCUGAAGAAAUCUUUGUAUGGCUUGAAGCAAUUGCCAAGGGCUUGGUUCGAAAAUUUCACUCAAUCGGUGAAAAACAUGGGAUAUACUCAGGGGCAGACCAACCACACGAUGUUUUACAAACAUUCUUGUAAUGGUAAAAUAACUAUUUUGAUAGUUUAUGUUGAUGACAUUAUCCUCACAAGAAGUGAUGAAGGAGAGAUGCUAAGAUUGAAGAAAGCUUUGGCACAGUCAUUUGAAAUCAAAGACUUAGGAAACUUGCGAUAUUUCUUAGGUAUUGAGGUAGCUUGAUCAAGAAAGGGAAUUGCCCUGUCUCAAAGGAAGUAUGUUCUAGAUCUUCUUAAAGAGACAGGCAUGUUAGGAUGCAAACCUAUUGACACCCCAAUAGAUGUGAACAUCAAGAUGAGUACUCAUAUAGGAGGUAAGGAGGUUGAUAGAGAAGGAUAUCAAAGACUAGUGGGAAAGUUAAUUUACCUCUCACACACUCGUCCAAACAUUGCCUUUGCUAUUAGUUUAGUAAGCCAAUUUAUGCACAAUCCCAAAGAAGAUCAUCCACAAGCAGUAUUUAGAAUCUUGAGAUAUCUCAAAGGGUCUCCUGGAAGAGGACUCUUAUUCUCUAAACAAGACAAGAGUUUAGAUGUGGAAACUUUUACUGAUGGUAAUUAGGCAAGUUCUAUAGAUGAUAAAAGGUCUACCUCAGGUUGUUGUACAUUCCUAGAAGGAAAUCUAAUAACGUGGAGAAGUAAGAAGCAAGCAGUUGUUGCGAGGUCUAGUGCGGAAGCUAAAUUUAGAGCAUUGGCUCUUGGAAUCUAUGAGCUUAUUUGGAUAGUCAUUGAUGAGUGAAAUGAGAAUGCCCCUAAUGAUACCAAUGAAGCUCUAUUGUGAUAAUAAAGCUGCCAUUAGUAUUGCACAUAACCUAGUUCAGCAUGAUAGAACCAAGCAUGUGGAGAUUGAUCGACAUUUCAUCAAAGAGAAGAUAGAAGUUGGGCUUAUAAACUUGUCUCAUGUUUCUUCAAGUAAUCAGGUAGCAGAUAUAUUAACAAAAGGGCUUGUUGGACAUCAAUUCAAGGAGUUCAUAAGCAAGCUAGGAAUGAAAGAUAUCUACCAUCCAGGUUGAGGGGGAGUGUAGAGAAUCGGUCAAGAAUCUUUUUUCCUUAAUUAGAGUUCUUGGUUAUAAUUGUAUACUAGCUGAUUUGAUUUAUUAGUCAAAAUAUUAUAGGAAAUUAGGUGUAUUAGCUGUAGAGAUACGUUAGUCAUCACAGUCUAGCUGGUAGUCUCAAUUUCCCUUUUUUAUUCUUAACAAUACUGUGCAUAUAUUCAGCCCUGUAUACCAAUUUUUAUAUAUGAAAAUUUGGAAAUCUUUUCCUAAGAAAACCACAGUAUGUUCU